GCCCCCUUCGUCUAGUGGCCUAGGACGGUGGAUUCUCAGUCCAUAAACAGGGGUUCGAUUCCCCUAGGGGGUA
rnacentral:tRNA from 1 species